rnacentral:rRNA from 1 species
AGAGUUUGAUCAUGGCUCAGAUUGAACGCUGGCGGUAUGCCUAACACAUGCAAGUCGAACGAGGUAGCAAUACCUAGUGGCGGACGGGUGAGGAAUACGUAGGGAUCUGCCCUUAAGUGGGGGAUAACCCGGGGAAACCCGGAUUAAUACCGCAUGAUCUCGCAAGAGCAAAGAGGGGGACCGCAAGGCCUCUCGCUUUUGGAGGAACCUACGUCGGAUUAGCUAGUUGGUGAGGUAAUGGCUCACCAAGGCGACGAUCCGUAACUGGUCUGAGAGGAUGAUCAGUCACACCGGAACUGAGACACGGUCCGGACUCCUACGGGAGGCAGCAGUGGGGAAUAUUGGACAAUGGGCGAAAGCCUGAUCCAGCAAUACCGCGUGUGUGAAGAAGGCCUUCGGGUUGUAAAGCACUUUAAGUUGGGAAGAAAAAGCUUCACCUAAUACGUGAAGCCUUGACGGUACCGUCAGAAUAAGCACCGGCUAACUCUGUG